rnacentral:rRNA from 1 species
GACAGAGGGUGCAAACGUUGUUCGGAAUUACUGGGCGUAAAGCGCAUGUAGGCGGCAACGCAAGUCGGGCGUGAAAUCCCACGGCUCAACCGUGGAAGUGCACUCGAAACUGCGUAGCUAGAGUCCUGGAGAGGAAGGUGGAAUGCUUGGUGUAGAGGUGAAAUUCGUAGAUAUCAAGCGGAACACCGAUGGCGAAGGCAGCCUUCUGGGCCAACACUGACGCUCAUGCACGAAAGCGUGGGGAGCAAACAGG